UACAGAGGGUGCAAGCGUUGUUCGGAAUUAUUGGGCGUAAAGGGUGCGUAGGCGGUCUGUUAAGUUGGAUGUGAAAACUCUGGGCUCAACCCAGAGCCUGCAUCCAAAACUGGCAGGCUAGAGUUCUGGAGGGGGUAGCGGAAUUCCUGGUGUAGCGGUGAAAUGCGUAGAUAUCAGGAGGAACACCGGUGGCGAAGGCAGGUCUCUGGGCCACUACUGACGCUGAGAAGCGAAAGCGUGGGUAGCAAACAGG
rnacentral:rRNA from 1 species